rnacentral:rRNA from 1 species
UACGGGGGGAGCAAGCGUUGUUCGGAUUUACUGGGCGUAAAGGGCUCGUAGGCGGUCCAUCGCGUCGGGAGUGAAAAGCUGGGGCUUAACCCCAGUCCUGCUUCCGAUACGGGUGGACUAGAGGUAUGCAGGGGAGAACGGAAUUCCUGGUGUAGCGGUGAAAUGCGCAGAUAUCAGGAGGAACACCGGUGGCGAAGGCGGCAUCCUGGACCGACAUUGACGCUGAGGAGCGAAAGCUAGGGGAGCAAACGGG